AAUAUUGCGCAAUGGGGGAAACCCUGACGCAGCGACGCCGCGUGAGUGAUGAAGGUCUUCGGAUCGUAAAACUCUGUCCUCAGGGAAGAAACAAAUGACGGUACCUGAGGAGGAAGCCCCGGCUAACUCCGUGCCAGCAGCCGCGGUAAUACGGAGGAUCCAAGCGUUAUCCGGAAUCAUUGGGUUUAAAGGGUCCGUAGGCGGCCUUAUAAGUCAGCGGUGAAAGUUUUUGGCUUAACCAAAAAAUUGCCGUUGAUACUGUAGGGCUUGAAUUUUUGUGAAGUAACUAGAAUAUGUAGUGUAGCGGUGAAAUGCUUAGAUAUUACAUGGAAUACCAAUUGCGAAGGCAGGUUACUAACAAACGAUUGACGCUGAUGGACGAAAGCGUGGGUAGCGAACA
rnacentral:rRNA from 1 species